rnacentral:rRNA from 1 species
ACAGAGACUGCAAGCGUUAUUCGGAUUCACUGGGCGUAAAGGGUGCGCAGGCGGCCAAGUGUGUGAGGCGUGAAAGCCCGGGGCUUAACCCCGGAAUUGCACCUCAAACUACAUGGCUAGAGCAUUGGAGAGGGUAGCAGAAUUCACGGUGUAGCAGUGAAAUGCGUAGAUAUCGUGAGGAAUACCAGAGGCGAAGGCGGCUACCUGGACAAUUGCUGACGCUCAGGCACGAAAGCGUGGGGAGCAAAAGGGAUUAGAUACCCCUGUAGUCCACGCCCUAAACGGUGCACACUAGGUCUUGGCGGAUUCGACCCCGCCAGGGCCCAAGCUAACGCGUUAAGUGUGCCGCCUGAGGACUACGGCCGCAAGGCUA